rnacentral:rRNA from 1 species
UACGGGGGGAGCAAGCGUUGUUCGGAUUUACUGGGCGUAAAGGGCGCGUAGGCGGUCAGCACAAGUCAGUUGUGAAAUCUCCGAGCUUAACUCGGAAAGGUCAACUGAAACUGUGCGACUAGAGUGCGGAAGGGGCAACUGGAAUUCUUGGUGUAGCGGUGAAAUGCGUAGAUAUCGUAAGGAAGACCAGUGGCGAAGGCGGGUCUCUGGACAGUUCCUGACGCUGAGGCACGAAGGCCAGGGGAGCAAACGGG